rnacentral:hammerhead_ribozyme from 1 species
ACCCAGCUGAAGAGUUCCAAAUAGGACGAAACGACUGUUCUGAAU